ACGGGUGAGUAACACGUGGGUAACCUGCCCAUCAGAGGGGGAUAACAUCCGGAAACGGAUGCUAAAACCGCAUAGGUCUUCGAGCCGCAUGGCUUGAAGAGGAAAAGAGGCGCAAGCUUCUGCUGAUGGAUGGACCCGCGGUGCAUUAGCUAGUUGGUGAGGUAACGGCUCACCAAGGCCGUGAUGCAUAGCCGACCUGAGAGGGUGAUCGGCCACAUUGGGACUGAGACACGGCCCAAACUCCUACGGGAGGCAGCAGUAGGGAAUCUUCCGCAAUGGACGCAAGUCUGACGGAGCAACGCCGCGUGAGUGAAGAAGGUUUUCGGAUCGUAAAACUCUGUUGUUAGAGAAGAACAAGUGCUAGAGUAACUGUUAGCGCCUUGACGGUAUCUAACCAGAAAGCCACGGCUAACUACGUGCCAGCAGCCGCGGUAAUACGUAGGUGGCAAGCGUUGUCCGGAAUUAUUGGGCGUAAAGCGCGCGCAGGCGGAUAGGUCAGUCUGUCUUAAAAGUUCGGGGCUUAACCCCGUGAUGGGAUGGAAACUGCCAAUCUAGAGUAUCGGAGAGGAAAGUGGAAUUCCUAGUGUAGCGGUGAAAUGCGUAGAUAUUAGGAAGAACACCAGUGGCGAAGGCGACUUUCUGGACGAAAACUGACGCUGAGGCGCGAAAGCCAGGGGAGCGGACGGGAUUAGAUACCCC
rnacentral:rRNA from 1 species